UACGAAGGGAGCUAGCGUUGUUCGGAAUCACUGGGCGUAAAGCGCACGUAGGCGGAUGUGUCAGUCAGGGGUGAAAUCCCGGAGCUCAACUUCGGAACUGCCUUUGAUACAGCACGUCUUGAGUCCGAUAGAGGUGGGUGGAAUUCCUAGUGUAGAGGUGAAAUUCGUAGAUAUCUGGAGGAACACCGGUGGCGAAGGCGGCAUCCUGGACCGAUAUUGACGCUGAGGAGCGAAAGCCAGGGGAGCAAACGGG
rnacentral:rRNA from 1 species